rfam:Firmicutes bacterium CAG:114 genomic scaffold, scf183
GGCCCGUUGGUCAAGUGGUUAAGACACCGCCCUUUCACGGCGGUAACAUGGGUUCGAGUCCCGUACGGGUCA